CUCAGAUUGAACGCUGGCGGCAGGCCUAACACAUGCAAGUCGAGCGGCAGCGCAAGGGAGUUUACUUCUGAGGUGGCGAGCGGCGGACGGGUGAGUAAUGCCUAGGGAUCUGCCCAGUCGAGGGGGAUAACAGUUGGAAACGACUGCUAAUACCGCAUACGCCCUACGGGGGAAAGGAGGGGACCUUCGGGCCUUCCGCGAUUGGAUGAACCUAGGUGGGAUUAGCUAGUUGGUGAGGUAAUGGCUCACCAAGGCGACGAUCCCUAGCUGUUCUGAGAGGAUGAUCAGCCACACUGGGACUGAGACACGGCCCAGACUCCUACGGGAGGCAGCAGUGGGGAAUAUUGCACAAUGGGGGAAACCCUGAUGCAGCCAUGCCGCGUGUGUGAAGAAGGCCUUCGGGUUGUAAAGCACUUUCAGUAGGGAGGAAAGGGUGUAGUUUAAUACGCUAUAUCUGUGACG
rnacentral:rRNA from 1 species